CCCUACGGGGCGCAGCAGUGAGGAAUAUUGGUCAAUGGGCUUACGCCUGAACCAGCCAAGUCGCGUGAGGGAAGACUGCCCUAUGGGUUGUAAACCUCUUUUGUCAGGGAGCAAUUGGCGCUACGUGUAGCGUUAUCGAGAGUACCUGAAGAAAAAGCAUCGGCUAACUCCGUGCCAGCAGCCGCGGUAAUACGGAGGAUGCGAGCGUUAUCCGGAUUUAUUGGGUUUAAAGGGUGCGUAGGCGGAAUGCCAAGUCAGCGGUAAAAUCGCGGGGCUCAACCCCGCUCCGCCGUUGAAACUGGCGU
rnacentral:rRNA from 1 species